CGCAAGAUUAAAACUCAAAUGAAUUGACGGGGGCCCGCACAAGCGGGUGGAGCAUGUGGUUUAAUUCGAUGCAACGCGAAGAACCUUACCUACUCUUGACAUCCAGAGAACUUUCCAGAGAUGGAUUGGUGCCUUCGGGAACUCUGAGACAGGUGCUGCAUGGCUGUCGUCAGCUCGUGUUGUGAAAUGUUGGGUUAAGUCCCGCAACGAGCGCAACCCUUAUCCUUGUUUGCCAGCGAGUCAUGUCGGGAACUCCAGGAAGACUGCCGGUGAUAAACCGAAGAAAGGUGGGGACGACGUCAAGUCAUCAUGGCCCUAACAAGUAGGGCUACACACGUGCUACAAUGGCGCAUACAGAGGGCAGCCAACUCGCAAGAGUAAGCGAAUCCCAAAAAGUCCGUCGUAGUCCGGAUUGGAGUCUGCAACUCGACUCCAUGAAGUCGGAAUCGCUAGUAAUCGUAGAUCAGAAUGCUACGGUGAAUACGUUCCCGGGCCUUGUACACACCGCCCGUCACACCAUGGGAGUGGGCUGCAAAAGAAGUGGGUAGUUUAACCUUCGGGAGGACGCUC
rnacentral:rRNA from 1 species